rnacentral:rRNA from 1 species
GACGAACGCUGGCGGCGUGCUUAACACAUGCAAGUCGAACGGAAAGGCCCUGCUUUUGUGGGGUGCUCGAGUGGCGAACGGGUGAGUAACACGUGAGUAACCUGCCCUUGACUUUGGGAUAACUUCAGGAAACUGGGGCUAAUACCGGAUAGGAGCUCCUGCUGCAUGGUGGGGGUUGGAAAGUUUCGGCGGUUGGGGAUGGACUCGCGGCUUAUCAGCUUGUUGGUGGGGUAGUGGCUUACCAAGGCUUUGACGGGUAGCCGGCCUGAGAGGGUGACCGGCCACAUUGGGAAUGAGAUACGGCCCAGACUCAUACGGGAGGCAGCAGUGGGGAAUAGUGCACAAUGGGCGGAAGCCUGAUGCAGCAACGCCGCGUGCGGGAUGACGGCCUUCGGGUUGUAAACCGCUUUCGCCUGUGACGAAGCGUGAGUGACGGUAAUGGGUAAAGAAGCACCGGCUAACUACGUG